rnacentral:rRNA from 1 species
UGGGGAAUUUUGGACAAUGGGCGAAAGCCUGAUCCAGCAAUGCCGCGUGAGUGAAGAAGGCCUUCGGGUUGUAAAGCUCUUUUGUCAGGGAAGAAACGGUGAGAGCUAAUAUCUUUUGCUAAUGACGGUACCUGAAGAAUAAGCACCGGCUAACUACGUGCCAGCAGCCGCGGUAAUACGUAGGGUGCAAGCGUUAAUCGGAAUUACUGGGCGUAAAGCGUGCGCAGGCGGUUUUGUAAGUCUGAUGUGAAAUCCCCGGGCUCAACCUGGGAAUUGCAUUGGAGACUGCAAGGCUAGAAUCUGGCAGAGGGGGGUAGAAUUCCACGUGUAGCAGUGAAAUGCGUAGAUAUGUGGAGGAACACCGAUGGCGAAGGCAGCCCCCUGGGUCAAGAUUGACGCUCAUGCACGAAAGCGUGGGGAGCAAACAGGAUUAGAUACCCUGGUAGUCCACGCCCUAAACGAUGUCUACUAGUUGUCGGGUCUUAAUUGACUUGGUAACGCAGCUAACGCGUGAAGUAGACCGCCUGGGGAGUACGGUCGCAAGAUUAAAACUCAAAUGAUUGNCGGGGUCAUAGCUGUUUCCUG